UUUCGGGUCCCAGCAUGUACGCUCUUACUCAAACCUUUCUAAGAGUAGAAUAGGUCGGUCGAUGAUGCGCCUCACUCCGUGGAGCAAAGAUCUCACCUCAGCUGCAAGCAACCUUUACUUUCAUUGCGCCUUUGGGUUUCGGUCACCCCAAGACUUGCGCACAUGUUAGACUCCUUGGUCCGUGUUUCAAGACGGGUCGGAUAAAGCCAUAUUGCCGCCAACAACCAUGGUGCAUCGUGUACGUUGACUGCACGCCUUUUCGCCUGCCAACUCGCACUGCACGCAGUGCGAACCGAUCGACUACGAGAACGCAACAGGACGCCAGCCCUCCCGAGAGAGAGCAUGCACCGCUCACCUCUGCCAGAUCUCGCACUGGGACACCCGCGGCUAUAACAGCACUCGGCGAACCGAAUGCCUACCUUCCACGGAGCCGUAUAGCGCGUGACUAGCAGCUGUUGACGCACUCCCACGAGAAGUGCGACGGACACGAGGCCUGGCCGUGCAUAAACGGUCCAUUCAGAUCCGCUGCACACACGUCUGGCCAAGUGAUCGCCUGAAUCUCGCAGAAGCAUUGCUAACUGCAUCCGUUUCCCCUCUAACGGUUUCACGCACUUUUUAACUCUCUUUUCAAAGUUCUUUUCAUCUUUCCCUCACGGUACUUGUUC
rnacentral:rRNA from 1 species